GGGCCGGUAGAUCAGUUGGAAGAUCGCCACCUUGGCAUGGUGGAGGCCACGGGUUCAAAUCCCGUCCGGUCCA
rnacentral:tRNA from 2 species